CGCGCCUCUGCCGCCAGCCACGGCUCCGGGGUAGCUGGCGCCGGCAGCCCGCUCUGGCCCUUGCGGUUCCGUGGCCGCCGCUCUGCAACGAGGGGGCCCCGAGGACGAGGGGAAACCAGCUCCCCCCUCGGCGGGGCCGGAGUGAGCCGGUCCCGGGGAGGAGGGGAGCUGGCAGGCCCCUCCCGUCGCCACAUGCGGCUGCUCGGGGGCGGCGCAUGCGCGCGGCGGAGGGGGGGGUGGGGCCUUGGGGCCGCGAGUGGGAGCGGGAGCGGUUCUGCGGCCUCCUCGGGCUUCUUGGCCCUGGGCGGAGUGGGAUUGGGUGUCCCGGCUGUUCGCAGUGGCCGCGAGUGCGGCCGGACCUGGAGUAGUACCUGAGCCGCUCUGGCCGAGCAAGGCGCGGGGCCCCGGUCUACACCGCGCUGGACCCGGCUAUGCCGUGACGGAAUUCCCGAGGCCGUAGCGCCACGCGAGACGCGCACUGGUGGCCUCCGCGGCGAGUCCUGGGGUCUCCGCAAGGCCUCAGUGCCCGAGCUGGGGACGUGCUGGGGGGAGGCCCGGCCCCGUCGCUGCCCGAGGCCCCGCUGUCCCGGCCGGACCGGCCUGGUCCCUGGCGUCCUGUCGGGUCCGCGCUGGAGGAGAGUCCCAGACAGCAGAGCCCGCGGUGCAGCUCCAGCCCCGGGAAGCCCCGCGCUCAACAGGUUAAUACUACACAGCGGCGAUUCUAAUGGUCACGCUUUUAUUUACAGCUCGCCUCCCUUCCGCCAAGAUUCACAGAACACGGCAGAGUGGCCUCGGGAUCACCUGCCCAAGACACCUGCACGACCGGAAGUUGGGAGAAGAAAUUAAGGCCAUGAUGAUGAACGCAGCCUUUCUCGUUUAUUUCCAAUCCCACAACAAACCGGAGUCCAGGAACUCAUGGGAGGCCGAGGUGGGCGGAUUGCCUGAGUUCAGGAGUUCGAGACCAGCCUGGGCGACACGGUGAAACCCCGUCCCUACUAAAAUACAAAAAAUUAGCCGGGCGUGGCGGCACGCGCCUGUAGUCCCAGCUACUCAGGAGGCUGAGGCAGGAGAAUGGCUUGAACUCGGGUGGGGGAGGUUGCAAUGAGCCGAGAUCGCGCCGCUGCACUCCAGCCUGGGCGACAGAGCGAGACUCUGUCUCUGAAAAAAAACAAAACAAAACGAGAAGGCUUUCAAAAUUACUCUGCGGUACACUAAUUUAACAGAUUAGAUCACUUUCCAGGCUUUAAGUUGGCCUUUGUUCUACCCUUUUUUUAGUGUAUGAUAAAAGUUGUGUUGGUUCGUUGAUCAGCAUGCAAUGAACUCUGGCUCUUGUUAAUCAGGUGACUACAGUUUUGUCCUUACAUUUGUAUGUAUGUCAUGAGUGGUUUUGUAUGGGCAGGAGGUAAACAACGCACAUUUAAAUAUACUUAAUGAUUUAUCAUUCCAAUGUUUUCUGGUUGUUUUAGUCUUUCAUUUGUCUCUUGAACAAUCUGAAACAUCCCUAUUCUAAGGCUAAAAAAUUUCCUUUACAAACUUAGGUUAAACAUUCCUAAUCUGAAAUCCAAAAUGCUCUAAAAUUCGAAUUUUUUUGAGUACUGACGUGACCCCACAAAUGGAAAAUUCCACACUUGCCCUCAUGUGACACUGGGUGACAGUCAAGUCACAAUCAAGCCUGGUGUGGUGGGCACCUGUAGUGCCAGCUACUCGGGAGGUUGAGCAGGAGGAUUGCUUGAGCCCAGGAGUUUGAGUCCAGCCUGGACGAUAUAGCCAGACCCUGUCUGUAAAAAAACAAAAACCAAAACAAAAAAAACAAUGAAAACAUUUUUUUUUAAAACGCCAUCAAAACUUUGUUUCAUGCACAAAAUUAUUUAAAAUAUAUAAUAUAACCUUACCUUCAGGCUAUGUGGGUAAGGUAAGGUGUAUGUGAAACAAAUGAAUUUCCCAUUUAGACUUGGGUCCCAUCCCCAAGAUAUCUUAUUAUGUAUAUGCAAAUAUUCCAAAUCAAAAAUAUCUGAAAUACUUUUGUCCCAAGCAUUUCAGAUAAAGGUUACUCAACCUGUAAUAAAAACACUCAGUGCUUGCCUGAAGGAAAAACCAAGAAUUUGUCAUCCAUCCUUAAAUUUUUAUGACACCCUUUGUAAUCAGGAAACCUUUUAAUACCUAAGAAUAUAUUUGAUAUAUUCUGGUAUAUGUUUAUCAUUCUGAUGUUUAAUGUUCUAUGUUGGGCAUAUAUCAGUGUAAUAAAUACAUUAGAUCCAAAUACAGAUCAUGCUGCCUUUUUAUCGACCUGUGUGAGAGAACUUAUUUAUCCUUUUCUUUUUCUUUCUUUUUUUUGAAACGGAGUCCCACUCUCACCCAGGCUGGAGUGCAAUGGCGUGGUCUCAGCUCACUACAACUUCCACCCCCUGGGUUCAAGCGAUUCUCCCACCUCAGCCUCCCAAGUAGCUGGGACUACAGGUGCGUGCCACCACACCUGGCUAAUUUUGGUAUUUUUAGUAGAGACAGGUUUUCACUAUGUUGGCCAGGCUGGUCUUGAACUCCUGACCUUGUGAUCCUUCUGCCUCGGCCUCCCAAAGUGCUGGGGUUAAAGGCGUGAGCCAUCACACCCGGCCCUCCCUUUGAUUUUCUUGGUUAAACACAAACUAAGCAUGUGAUUUUAUGUUAAAAGACCUGAAGUGGACCUCAACCAGGUAUUUUAUUUUGUGAAUUAAGAAAGCAAUUUGUAACGUUCAAGAGAAC
rnacentral:lncRNA from 1 species